rnacentral:rRNA from 1 species
CGACCUCGAUGUUGAAUUAAAUUAUCUAUAUUUCGCAAUAGAAAUAUAAGUGGGUCUGUUCGACCUAUAAAAAUUUACAUGAUUUGAGUUCAAACCGGUGUAAGCCAGGUUGGUUUCUAUCUUUUUUUAAUUAUUUUCUAGUACGAAAGGACAAAAAAUAUUAUUAAUAAUAUUUAUUUGGCAGAUAAUUGCAUUAGAAUUAGAAUCUAAUCAC